rnacentral:rRNA from 1 species
GACGAACGCUGGCGGCAUGCCUAACACAUGCAAGUCGAACGAAACGUUCGGGUCUUUGUGCGCUCGUCGUCGUAAGGCGUGGGAAGCUGCCCUUAGGUACCGAAUACCUCCCCGAAAGGGAUGCUAAUACCAGAUAAUGUCUUCGGACCAAAGAUUUAUCGCGUUUGGAUGGGCCCUCGUUGGAUUAGCCAGUUGGUAGGGUAAUAGCCUACCAAGGCGACGAUCCUUAGCUGGUCUGAGAGGAUGAUCAGCCACACUGGGGAUAGGACACGGCCCCGACUCCUACGGAAGGGAGCAGUGGGGAAUAUAGGAGGAUGGGCGAAAGCCUGAUCAAGCAACGCCGGGUGAGUGAUGAAGGCCUUAGGGUUGUAAAGCUCUUUUACCCGGGAUGAUAGUGACGGUACCGGGUGAAUAAGCACCGGCUAACUACGUG